rnacentral:rRNA from 1 species
AUGGAGUGUGAGCUCGAGAGGAAGAGGAAGAAAACAGAGGAGAGGGAAAAGGGAAAAAACAGAGCGCUCGGGCUCGACGAAGGGGUUUAUAUAGGAUGA